rnacentral:rRNA from 1 species
CACAUGCAGUCGAACGAUGAAGCCCAGCUUGCUGGGUGGAUUAGUGGCGAACGGGUGAGUAACACGUGAGUAACCUGCCCUUAACUCUGGGAUAAGCCUGGGAAACUGGGUCUAAUACCGGAUAGGAGCGCCUACCGCAUGGUGGGUGUUGGAAAGAUUUAUCGGUUUUGGAUGGACUCGCGGCCUAUCAGCUUGUUGGUGAGGUAAUGGCUCACCAAGGCGACGACGGGUAGCCGGCCUGAGAGGGUGACCGGCCACACUGGGACUGAGACACGGCCCAGACUCCUACGGGAGGCAGCAGUGGGGAAUAUUGCACAAUGGGCGCAAGCCUGAUGCAGCGACGCCGCGUGAGGGAUGACGGCCUUCGGGUUGUAAACCUCUUUCAGUAGGGAAGAAGCGAAAGUGACGGUACCUGCAGAAGAAGCACCGGCUAACUACGUGCCAGCAGCCGCGGUAAUACGUAGGGUGCGAGCGUUAUCCGGAAUUAUUGGGCGUAAAGAGCUCGUAGGCGGUUUGUCGCGUCUGUCGUGAAAGUCCGGGGCUUAACCCCGGAUCUGCGGUGGGUACGGGCAGACUAGAGUGCAGUAGGGGAGACUGGAAUUCCUGGUGUAGCGGUGGAAUGCGCAGAUAUCAGGAGGAACACCGAUGGCGAAGGCAGGUCUCUGGGCUGUAACUGACGCUGAGGAGCGAAAGCAUGGGGAGCGAACAGGAUUAGAUACCCUGGUAGUCCAUGCCGUAAACGUUGGGCACUAGGUGUGGGGACCAUUCCACGGUUUCCGCGCCGCAGCUAACGCAUUAAGUGCCCCGCCUGGGGAGUACGGCCGCAAGGCUAAAACUCAAAGGAAUUGACGGGGGCCCGCACAAGCGGCGGAGCAUGCGGAUUAAUUCGAUGCAACGCGAAGAACCUUACCAAGGCUUGACAUGUUCUCGAUCGCCGUAGAGAUACGGUUUCCCCUUUGGGGCGGGUUCACAGGUGGUGCAUGGUUGUCGUCAGCUCGUGUCGUGAGAUGUUGGGUUAAGUCCCGCAACGAGCGCAACCCUCGUUCCAUGUUGCCAGCACGUA